GACGAACGCUGGCGGCGUGCCUAAUACAUGCAAGUUGAGCGCUGAAGGUUGGUACUUGUACCAACUGGAUGAGCAGCGAACGGGUGAGUAACGCGUGGGGAAUCUGCCUUUGAGCGGGGGACAACAUUUGGAAACGAAUGCUAAUACCGCAUAAAAACUUUAAACACAAGUUUUAAGUUUGAAAGAUGCAAUUGCAUCACUCAAAGAUGAUCCCGCGUUGUAUUAGCUAGUUGGUGAGGUAAAGGCUCACCAGGGCGAUGAUACAUAGCCGACCUGAGAGGGUGAACGGCCACAUUGGGACUGAGACACGGCCCAAACGCCUACGGGAGGCAGCAGUAGGGAAUCUUCGGCAAUGGACGAAAGUCUGACCGAGCAACGCCGCGUGAGUGAAGAAGGGUUUCGGGUCGUAAAACUCUGUUGGUAGAGAAGAACGUUGGUGAGAGUGGAAAGCUCAUCAAGUGACGGUAACUACCCAGAAAGGGACGGCUAACUACGUG
rnacentral:rRNA from 1 species